rnacentral:rRNA from 1 species
AUUGAACGCUGGCGGCAUGCCUUACACAUGCAAGUCGGGCGAGUGGCGGACGGGUGAGUAACGUAUCGGAACCUUCCUGAUGAAGGGGGCUAACUACUGGCAACGGUAGCUAAUACCGCAUACCAUCAGAUGGACCCAUAUGGGAUUAGCUGGUUGGUGGGGUAACGGCUCACCAAGGCGACGAUCACUAGCUGGUCUGAGAGGAUGAUCAGCCAAAGUGGAACGGAGACACGGCCCAGACUCCUACGGGAGGCAGCAGUGGGGAAUAUUGGACAAUGGGCGAAAGCCUGAUGCAGCCAUGCCGCGUGUAUGAAGAAGGUCUUCGGGUUGUAAAGUACGUUCAGUCGGGAGGCGUUACCAACAGAAGAAGCACCGGCUAACUCCGUGCCAGCAGCCGCGGUAAUAC